rnacentral:rRNA from 1 species
UGUGUUUGAUCCUGGCUCAGAUUGAACGCUGGCGGCAUGCCUUACACAUGCAAGUCGAACGGCAGCACGGGGGCAACCCUGGUGGCGAGUGGCGAACGGGUGAGUAAUACAUCGGAACGUGUCCUGUAGUGGGGGAUAGCCCGGCGAAAGCCGGAUUAAUACCGCAUACGAUCUACGGAAGAAAGCGGGGGAUCGCAAGACCUCGCGCUAUAGGGGCGGCCGAUGGCAGAUUAGCUAGUUGGUGGGGUAAAGGCCUACCAAGGCGACGAUCUGUAGCUGGUCUGAGAGUGACGACCAGCCACACUGGGACUGAGACACGGCCCAGACUCCUACGGGAGGCAGCAGUGGGGAAUUUUGGACAAUGGGGGAAACCCUGAUCCAGCAAUGCCGCGUGUGUGAAGAAGGCCUUCGGGUUGUAAAGCACUUUUGUCCGGAAAGAAAACUUCUGCCCUAAUACGGUGGGAGGAUGACGGUACCGGAAGAAUAAGCACCGGCAU